rnacentral:rRNA from 1 species
GACGAACGCUGGCGGCGUGCUUAACACAUGCAAGUCGAGCGAUGAAGCACCUUCGGGUGUGAAUUAGCGGCGAACGGGUGAGGAACACGUGAGAAAUCUGCCUUCAACUCUGGGAUAACUCCGUGAAAACGGGGCUAAUACCGGAUAUGAAACCUGCGGGCAUCCGCGGGUUUGGAAAGUUUUUCGGUUGAAGAUGAUCUCGCAGCCUAUCAGCUUGUUGGUGAGGUAAUGGCUCACCAAGGCGACGACGGGUAGCCGGCCUGAGAGGGCGACCGGCCACACUGGGACUGAGACACGGCCCAGACUCCUACGGGAGGCAGCAGUGGGGAAUAUUGGGCAAUGGAGGAAACUCUGACCCAGCGACGCCGCGUGAGGGAUGAAGGCCUUCGGGUUGUAAACCUCUUUCAGUAGGGAAGAAGCGAAAGUGACGGUACCUACAGAAGAAGCACCGGCUAACUAUGUGCCAGCAGCCGCGGUAA